GAGCAAACGUUUCUUUCCCAGGAAGAUGUGUUUGUGUUUUUAGUUUGUCUUUUCAGAACCCUUCUUCCUCUCUAAGGUCGCUUUCACAGAAAACCUGUCAAUCCCGGAGCUUCUCCGUGUCAGUACCGGUUACAUCCUGUGGACAGAACAAAGGAAAAGGAUGACCAAACCUCGCCCCUGAACUGUCCGGUACGGGACGCUGGUGUCACAAAGGCCUUGCCACUCCAGGUCACCAUGGAAACGGGAUGCAGUCGUCUUGUUCCCAGAAGGACUGAGUGAUCUCAGCAGGAGGGCCGGCCUCCUCCUCUUCGGCAGGACACCCUCUAAUUGGCCUUCGGAUGCCAGGCGGAGAGUUGGCAUCACAGAGUACAGUAUUUCAGGUUGCAUAUAGUCCCGAGAGGCUUCCCGUCUUCCCGCUUUCUCCCCACAACGCACACCCAGGACCCAGACACGCCGCCCACUGAAUAUUCGGGACCCUCGGAAUCCCGGAGCGGAACGGGCAGGGACAAGAGGACAGAAUGAACCAACGGAGAAAUAAAGACAAUCUGCUCCAGUCCGUGAACCAGGGAAAUUAGGGCUUUACAGUGACGUCUUUAGCAUAACUUGCGCCCAGUGUGAUGAUUGCAUUCCGAGCCCCUUGGAUUUCUGCGAUGUCUGCGGAAGGACACUCUAAGAGGCGUCACAGAGGAAGCAUUGGUGGUUCAGUGGUAGAAUUCUCGCCUGCCACGCGGGAGGCCCGGGUUCGAUUCCCGGCCAAUGCAACUUUUUAGUAAAAGGAAGGAAGAAAAGGGAACCGCUCUUGACCCCGACGUGAUUUGAACAUGCAACCUUCUGAUCUGGAGUCAGACGCGCUACCGUUGCGCCACGAGGCCACAAAGGAAUGUACCGAAAGCGAACAUUUAUGGAAGAGAGAAAAAUACAUGGCUGGUCCUCAUAUUUUAGGAUAUUUGCUAUCUGGAGGAUUGUGAACCCAUGCAAUAGCCGGUACUGUGAAUACACUGUCUUAGACACUA